AAACCAACCGGGAUUGCCUCAGUAACGGCGAGUGAAGCGGCAACAGCUCAAAUUUGAAAGCCCGCGGGCGUUGUAAUUUGCAGGCGGAUGUUUUGGGGCGGGCGCUGUCUACGUUCCUUGGAACAGGACGCCGCAGAGGGUGAGAGCCCCGUGCGAUGGCGCCUUUAACCGCGUAAAACUCCGCCGACGAGUCGAGUUGUUUGGGAAUGCAGCUCCAAGUGGGUGGUAAAUUCCAUCUAAAGCUAAAUACUGGCGAGAGACCGAUAGCGAACAAGUACAGUGAUGGAAAGAUGAAAAGCACUUUGAAAAGAGAGUGAAACAGCACGUGAAAUUGUUGAAAGGGAAGGGUAUGCGAUUAGCGGCCAGCAGGAGGUGCGUUCUCGCGAAAAGGCCGUGCACCGUCUUCGGACACCGUGCGCGGAGAUGGCGAGGGGGCGCCUGAGGUCUGCGACUCGAGGUUGCUGGCGUAAUGAUUGCAUACCACCCGUCUUGA
rnacentral:rRNA from 1 species